AUGGAAUGUUGGCACCGGUUGCCAGGGGCACUCCAAGGUUCUGUUGACACGGGGUCUGUUGAGCCAGUUGAUGGACUCUCUGCAGCGCAGCAGACGCAGAGUGUCCGUCUUCUCCAUCCCAGCUGGGAAUACAGAGGCGUUUGUUUAUAUUUGCGAUCCAAACUUUGGACUGAUUGUACAGGUGUUUGUCCCACUCACUUGUCCAGUGCUUUUAGAACACCAAACACCAUGAGCUCACGAAAGCGCCCUGGAGAUACGCUUGACACGGGUCCAGCAGAGAAACAGAGCAGGCUGCUGACCUCCGGAGUCGGUGAAAGUCUGCAGACAUAUCCAAGAGACCUCGAGGAAAGAGGUUCACCUGCUUUGGAGCCUGGUAAGAACAGAAACUGCUGCUGGACGGUUGGAGAUCAUUGGAACAUGUGCUUUUGUCAGUUCCUAGGCCCUUUUCUGGGGAGAAAGGGAACCUUGGGGUUGAGGAAGGUGGGCUUGAUGCCUGCUAUGGCAUCCCUAAACAACAAGCCCACUGACAGCUGUUUUGGUUUCUUACUGAACUCUGCCCAUUGGCCUCUAGUGGGAGAUGAGCUGUGUAGCAAAGGC
rnacentral:lncRNA from 1 species